CUGUCUUGAGAUUCUUUCUCUGUUGCCAGGAACCAGCCAGAACAGGAGGCAGCCAGGGAGAGGGGAGCCAGGGAGAACACAGCCUCAGUCCUGGAAGGAGAGGGCCUGCUGGGAAGAACAGAACCCAGCUGUCUUGGCCCCAGAUGUGGAAGCUGAGACUUAAAGAAGCUAUGAAACUUGAUCAGGUCAUGCAGCGCCAGAGGACCCAAGGUGGGAUCUCAACCCAGACUGUUUGGCUCCAAAGCUGAACUGCUACAUUACGUUGCUUCAGCAAACAGUCAUUCAGAGACAAUGGGCUUUAGAGGAGUUUAGUGAUGUUACUAACAAACAUAAGUACCUUGUACUAACCUCCUGGUGCCCAAGUGUUUGAGGUGAGAAAAACUGAAACAUGAAAAGCCCAGAGAGGUAAAGUGACUGGCUCAAGGUAAGUGGUGGAGUUGGUAUUUGAACCCAGAUCCCCUGUUACUUCAGAACCUCAGCUACCGCUGUGACUUUGGGUGCAAACCUGUCUGAAGCCUGUUGGUGAAGCUCUGCCCAGCUAUGAAGAGGCACAGAUCUGCCUGCCUCCCUUGGAAGGCUCAGACUCUUUUUCUGGAAGGCCUACCUUCUCAUCCUUUGGCAGUUGGGGGAACUGAAGCACAGUGAGGGAGAUAAGCGUGCCAUACAAUGAGAGGACAGAGCUCAGCGCUCUUCACUCAUGUGCCUGUGGGAAAGAGCCAGUUCUAGGGGUGGGGAUCGCGAAGGAGCACCCUACUUCCCUGUCCUUGUCACGUCCCAUGGCCAGUAGCCAUGUACUUUUUCCUCCUUUUUCUCUUGCCCAGCAAAUACAGGCUCCAGCUGCAGCCACUUUGAAGAUAAAGUUUCCUCCAUAGAAAUUCUGCAAUACAGAUGUCCUUCCGCGGUCCCAGUUCAGUCCUGCACCAGUUCCUUUUCCCACUGGGAAAUUUCUUUCCUCUUCCUACUUCCAUGCAACUGCGAGGCAAGGCUCAAGCCCACUUCCUUCUCCUUUUCCUGUGCCUCCCUGUGGAGGGAGCUCCCUCUUCUUCACAGCUCCAGGCUCUUCCCUACUCUGGCCCAACCUUAUGGGCAUUUUGCUCCAUAACUCUCCUCGAUCUGAACUGCUUCUGAUUUCUCUCAAGUCAUGUCGGGGAAUCUCACAAAUGCAUUCUGAGAAAUACAAGAAUGCCUGAGAUGUUCCCGGCAGAAAAGAUUCCAGGAUCAAAACAUUUGGGAAAAGCUUCACAUCUCUCCUUAGAAAUGAACAAGGCAUAGUCAUCAAGCAUCUGAAAAGUCCUGCAGUCAGGAAACCUACCUUGUUUGUUUUUUAACCCAGUAUUUCUCAAACUAAGAUGGCCAUGAUUUCAUCUCCUCCAUCCCCACUGACUCCUAUAACAACCUGUAGAACCAGUGAUCCACUGUGGAACACACUUUGGGAAACACUGUCCCCAGCCCUCCAAGAAGGCAUAGAGUUGACCUUGCCUUCAUUGAUUUAAACCCUUCCUGUUUCUCUGGGCUAUUUACUUAUUAUCUCACAUACAAAAUAAUCUAAGGUGAUGUCUGCCCAAUUGGGUUUUUAGGAAAGACAUACCCAAUGGGAAUGAAGAUUUUCUUAGCAGGAUUUGAUGAGCCCAUUACUAGAAAAAAAAUCAAGGAUUUCCCAGACUUUCAGGGUGAGGAGAGAAUUUGAUACAAGCAGCAGAGGCUGGGCGUAGUGACCCAUGCCUAGCACUUUGGUAGGCCAAGGAGGGAGGAUUGCUUGAACCCAGGAAUCCAAGACCAGCCUGGGCAACAUAGUAAGAUCCCAUCUCAAUUUUUUAAAGAAGGAUUUAUCAAACUUGUUUCCUAGUCAACGGAUAAAGCCAGAGAGGUAAUGGCCAGAAACCCAAAAUCUAGAGAGUACCAGAUAAAUACUUUUUGGGUGAAUGAAUGAAUGAGCAGGCUAUUGAUCACAAAGUUGGCAGACAUUGUGAAUGAAUGGAUGAAUUAAUAAACAAUCAAAUAACUGGUCUCCAGGCCUCCAGACUUUCUGAACUUCAUUGUAUCUACCUGCUGUGGCCACAUAUAUAUCUCCUCAAAACCCAGAUCUCAUCAGUCCACUCUUCUGUUCCCUGGCUGGCUCCCUGUUGCCUUCAGGAUAAAGUCUACAUGCCUUUGUCCUGGCAUUGAAAACUCUGCAAAACAAAGCUCCAACCUAGCUUUCCAUCCUUCUUUCUCUUCCCCAUUGGGUACCCCUUACUCUAGUCACACCAGUCCCCAAUUCACUUUAUCCGUCUCCUUUUCUUUCUCAAGCUAUUCUCUAUACCUCACCUUUUCUCCCCUGCCUCCAUUGUUGCUUAUUCAACCCUAGCAGUGCUUUCAGGCUCAGCUCAAACCUUAUCACCCAUGUUAAAUGAAAGAAGCCAGACACAAGAAGGGGACAUUCUGAAUGAUUCCAUUUAUAUGAAGGUUAAGAACAGGCAAAACUAUUGUGGGGAAAAAACAGAACUGUGGUUGCCUUUGGGGAGUGAGGAUUGAUUAGAAGGGGUUUUGGGGGUAUGAAAAUGUUCUUGAUCUUCAUUCCAGUGGUAAUUUCAUGGGUGAAUACAUUUGCCAAAAUUCACUGAAUUGUACACUAAAGAUCUGCAUUUCUCUGUAUUGUCAAUUUAAUCUAAAAAUAAAAAUCUUACCACCCAGA
rnacentral:lncRNA from 1 species